rnacentral:rRNA from 1 species
CCUACGGGAGGCAGCAGUGAGGAAUAUAGGUCAAUGGGCGCGAGCCGGAACCAGCCAAGGAGCGUGAAGGAUGACUGCCCGACGGGGUGUAAACUUCGGUUAUAAAGGAAUAAAGUGAGGCACGUGUGCCUUUUUGUAUGUACUUUAUGAAUAAGGAUCGGCUAACUCCGUGCCAGCAGCCGCGGUAAUACGGAGGAUCCGAGCGUUAUCCGGAUUUAUUGGGUUUAAAGGGAGAGUAGAGGGGUUGUUAAGUCAGUUGUGAAAGUUUGCGGCUCAACCGUAAAAUUGCAAUUGAUACUGGCAGUCUUGAGUACAGUUGAGGUAGGCGGAAUUCGUGGUGUAGCGGU